UGGGGAAUAUUGCACAAUGGGCGGAAGCCUGAUGCAGCGACGCCGCGUGAGGGAUGACGGCCUUCGGGUUGUAAACCUCUUUCAGUAGGGACGAAGCGUAAGUGACGGUACCUGCAGAAGAAGCACCGGCUAACUACGUGCCAGCAGCCGCGGUAAUACGUAGGGCGCAAGCGUUAUCCGGAAUUAUUGGGCGUAAAGAGCUUGUAGGCGGUUCGUCGCGUCUGGUGUGAAAGCCCAUCGCUUAACGGUGGGUUUGCGCCGGGUACGGGCGGGCUAGAGUGCAGUAGGGGAGACUGGAAUUCUCGGUGUAACGGUGGAAUGUGUAGAUAUCGGGAAGAACACCAAUGGCGAAGGCAGGUCUCUGGGCUGUUACUGACGCUGAGAAGCGAAAGCGUGGGGAGCGAACAGG
rnacentral:rRNA from 1 species